UUCAUAGUCCAGCAUGAUCAGGUGUCGGAGCGCGUGAAGAUCUUCUGAAGCUGUGCAAAACGUGUGUGAAGAUGCAGAGUCUUUGAGGUUAGUUAUGGCCAACAAGACGCUGUUGCAGAGGUUACCGACUCAGGUCUCAGGGUUUCUGCUGCUGUUGGCCCCUCGGGAGAGAUACUUAACCUGAAUUGCAGCAGUGAAACUCCCAGCUUUAUAAAUGGAUUGACCUCCAAGUAGCUUUCGACAAACGUGUCAGCUGCGCAAUUAAAUUAUAGUGUAUACAUUACACUGAAUCAAUUUAAAUGGCGGCCCUUCUAGGGUUUCCCAUACAUCCCGAUAACAUUUCGUCAUCCAUAACCCACAGGUACACGAGCGUUACAUCUCCAAACAUCUAACAUAUCAUAAACAUAACCUUGCUAUCUACAUCGUGAUAAAAUCGCACACAUUCGUGGAUUAAACGGCGAUCACUUUGCCAAGAACAAACACAAAUAAGACGCACUUAAUUGCAGUGACCUAAUCGACCUGCCCGGGCAGCGCUCUCCAAGCAGCGCCCCGGGUACUGACGCCGCCCUGGAUCCCCGUCCCGGUUCCCGGCUGAAGGGCUGCCACGGUUCGCGAGUGCCUGUCGGAAUCCGGAAAUGAUGAAAAGGCGCCUGGCGAGGGAAAAGGUUGCAUUUCUCCGGAGCAAAACAGCACAGGCGAUCAAAUCAAAGUUACUCUUUUAUGCGAAAGGAAGGGUGGCUAAGAAUGUCCCAGGAGACAGCGUCCCCCUUGAAGACCGGCUCCUCCGUGCGGGAUGGUCUGCUUCUUUUUAACGAAGGAUGUGGCUCUGCAGACAGGCCAGCUGACUCAGAGGGAAGACCAGGAACCAUAGCUUCCGCUGAGGAAUUUCCAGAACCUCGGGGUCACGUGACCACUGGAAGUUCCACUAAUGGUGACCUCGUUAGAAAUCAGCCUGAGCCUGUGGACCUGGGAGCCGGCAAGGGAGUAGGCGGAGUUCUGCACGGUCCCACUACGCGGCCCAAGAAGCAUCCAGUGUCUCACAGGGUGCAGCACAAGCUCCGCUCCGUCGGCGGGGACAGGGGUCACUCUGUGGACUCGUUGCCAGAAGGGCUGGUGGGGCCUGACCUUUACAUCUUGGAGCCGAGCUUGAUGUUGAUCCAGGGACCAGGCAAACAGUGCCCUACGCAGCCUUCACCCCCCACCCCGCCGCCAAGGAGCGGGCGAAACACAGAGCAGCUCACUGCACUAUGGAGGUACGUCCUGCUCAGCGCCCUUACCAGAGUCUUCCUCUGCCAGAUCCCGCUUUAAAGCGAGGUGGCUUCGGUAACGCAGAAAAAAUAUCCAUAAUUCAUUCAUGAUACUGUUGUUUUAUCUUGGUCUCAUUAAAAGUAAAAAAAUUACAUAGUUACCAGAACGUUGCACGGAAAAUAAUAUGAACUGAACGUGUGUGUAUAUUUGGCUGAAAUCGAGAAGAUGCAGGUCCUUCUUAGCCACGGGAUCAGACAUAAUUCCUCCUUUUUUUCCGCUGUCCUAAUAGAUCAAUUUCUCUAUAUAAAUUCGUCUCGAACGAACUGAUUAAACAGCACAGUGUCUCUGCGUUGAGAGGCCCAUUAGACAUUUGUGACAGUAAAUUACAGCACAUUUACAAUCCAAAUGAAAUUUCAUAAAGGAGGGAUAUUGGGAACCGCCCCGUCCGUCUUCGAGCCUCCCUGCCAACGUCUUUGUCUCUCGUCUGACAAGCGCAUCACAUCAGCGCCCCCUGUGGUGGACUACGGCACCUGCAGGGUCGAGGAGUUUGGACAUUCUUUCGCUGGUGUGCUGAAUCUCUGCCACUUCCUUCGCCACAUCAGCCGCCACAUCUCCAGUCAGACCCAGCUCUUCCCUUCAGCGGAGGGCGUCUUUGCGUCUUUCCACCCAAAAGGGCGGGACACACACCUGGCAGCCGCCCCCUUUUGGCUCACUUUUUUUGUUGCCGUUCGCCCCCUAAAUAAUGAAUCAUCCAAUCAAUUUCUUUCUCUAUGUUUUGGGCGCCGGAGCCUGGGGUGUGCCAAAGUCGAUUCGCUUGAUCUGAAGGGCCGGGAUUAACCUCCCCCCACCCCCACCCAUACUCAAACCUCACAUCUCCAUGGUGGGUCCGGUGCAGACCUUUACAGUCAAGCACCCCACUCUUUCCCAGAACAGGCUGUUGAAAGAUUCCUGUUAGGCCCGUAAUUUUGGAACAAGGCAGUACAGCAGUCUGUCUGUGUAAUGAACCAGGCAAGGACAAGAUCUGUACAGUAGAAUCGAUGUCAUGGGGGGGGGGGUCCCAUGCCCGGGAGAAUCAGGGGCUUGUUUUAAGCAGAGAUAAGUACAGACCCCCCACUUUCGUAGGUAUGUCCACCUGGCUUUCAGGGUGAUGCAUUUCCCGUAGAGUAUGGAUAAUAUAGCAGGCAGAAGCUCUGCAAAACUGAGCCUCGACUCCCAGUAUCCUUAACUGGUCUCCACUACAUUCAAAGGCGUCGGUCACGUGAUACGUGGAAUAUAGUUAAUGGUUACCGACUAGUGCUGGUGAGUUUUUGUAAUGCCUUAGCUGUUUACAUUUUUUUUCUGCAUGACUUGCAUGAGGGUUCAAGGAAGCUUCUAGAAGCUUCCUUGAAAAGAUCACACUGGCAUGUGAUCUUUAUUGCCGUGAAGAGGCAGCCCCCCCAAGUCCCUGAAAAGGAAAAAAGGAACCACCAUUUUUAAUUUUUUUUUGGGGGGGGGGAUCCAGGACAUGUGAUUUGAAGAUAUCUGUCUCUCACCUUGUGAAGUCGGCAGGUGAUGCUCUAUCCGUCGGAACAACGAUGAGGAGAAGCAGGCUUCUGAAACAGCACUUCAAGCACAAGUGUCAGAAUUUACACUGCUCUUUGUCUUUUCAUGGGGGCGGCUAAAUCCCUGCGUUUUCGUACCAGCUCUACGGGAGACAGCCUCUGGCUUGGCCAGGGAUCGUUUCAUCUAAGAGGUGUGGCUAGCUUCUGCUAUAGGAAGAUGACAGGAAACUGCAUUUGGAACAAUUUCCUUUGGCGCCACAAAAAAUUUGACAAACGAGAGGUGGCCUUGACUGGCAGGAUCACGCAGGCCAUCUUCACUUGUACCGACUCCGGGGUUAAACUCUGGAGGAUUAUCAUUAAUGUCGCUACCAAAGCCACAGACUCUGCCCUCAUCAACCCCAACUGCCUGGCACCAACAUGGCCGACACCAACAUGACCGACACCAACAUGGCCGACACCAACAUGACCGACACCAACAUGGCCGACACCAACAUGACCGACACCAACAUGGCCGACACCAACAUGGCCGACACCAACAUGACCGACACCAACAUGGCCGACACCAACAUGGCCAAUAUAUGUAUUCGGAUCAUUGUUUAUAGUAUGUAAUGAAGGUACCACUCACCCUAUAACGGUAGCACCUCCACAGGCUAAGUGGGACCCUCCUAACAGGUAAAAAUCAUAGGGAAUCCAUGUGAAUGUUCCCAUAGGCCAGGUCUCCAUCCACAUGUAACCAUGGACACCAGUGAGUCUAAAGCCACCCCAUAACACCUAAGAGGAGAUCGAAGCAUAACCCACACGGUGCCUUUCACACUCCUGCUUUGUUAAAAUUCAUUCAUACCCAUUAUUCAGUGCUGCCUGUCAUGUUACCACCUCUGCUGAUGGAAACCAGACCCACCUUUGGAUGAAGUUCAUUGUCAACAGAAAGGUUGGUUUGCAAGGUCAUUACUGUGCCUGAAAUAUGUCUACAGUAUACAUUCAUGCUGCAUGGCACAAAAGCGCAUUUGUUGACAUAUAAUUUAAUAAAAACCUAACACAUUAUUUGUAAAUUACCAGGGACUGCCACGAUGUGUGAAUUCUGGUCAUAUUUUCCAGUUUGUGAAAAACAUCUGAAUAUCAAGUGCUUGUGAAAGACAUUUUCAAAUUUUACACAGAUUUAAGACAAAAUAAUUUUGUAUGCAACAUAAAUAUGAGUAGUGAUGAGAUGUAAUGAUUCUCAGCACCAUUGGAAAAUAGUCCUUUUAUGAUAUAAUAUAAAUGUGUGUACAAUUUAAAUGGAAAAAUUAGCUUAUCGGAUGAAAUAUUCCGCUCUGUUCCUUCCAAUGCUUCUAUGGGCAGUUCUGUGUCAUUUCUUUAAAACCUGGAAAAGUAAGGAAGGAACCUAAAGUUAUUUAAAUGAUUGGCCUUUUAAACAAAUGUCUCAUGUGUGCAUCAUAUAUUUGUUGUUAUUAAAUUUAAAUUAAGUGUGCUAUAUAUAACACUGUUGCAGAAUAUCAUUAACCUAGUAGUGUUAACCUCCACAAAUAAUUAACAAAGUAUUAUAAAAAAAGACAAUUAACUUGAAGUGUAAGUCCUGAAGUGUGAGGCAUUUUAUUGCUUUUUCCCCUUCGGUUGAAUGCGCUGAAAUCGCUGCUGCUCUGCACUCCCAUAACAUGUAUUAGCUCCAUAUAUUGUGCCUUGCGUUGAGUUCUGUAGUGCAGUUCUUUUUUCCCGAAAAUGUGGCCGAAUAAAGAACAAGAUAACGAACAAACAAACAAACUUUAAGCAAUGCUUUGUUGGCUCCUCCCCAGCCUCCGGGUGAGAAAAGCACAGACUGUUGAUAAAAGAACAUCGAUUCCGUGUGUUGUAAAGGUGGAGUAUGUUAUGUGACCGUUACAUCAUACACAUACACAUUUAAAAAUAAUAAUAAAAUGAAAGCAUGCAAUGAAAUAACAAUGAAAGCAUGCAAAAAAAAAAACCCAAAAUAAAUUAACUUUUUUGCUGAAAAUGUAAAAAUGGGCUCAAAAUCUGACGUUGCUUCCUUGUAAACAAAGCACAGUGAUGAGCAGCAAUAGGACAAGGAAGUAACACUUCUCAAUAGAAGACUUGAAACCAUUUAUUGAGGAGGUGGCCAAAAAUAUGUUUUAAUAAAAUAAUUAUUGCAGUGUAGCCAGCAUAGCACACGUGACAGUAAUAGCACAGCAGCAUUCAGGGGGACAUCUUAGAGGUCCCAAGGACUUGUGUAGGCACCAGAAUCGCACCUUCCACAUGCCCAGAGGCCCCUCUACAGCAGAGUGCGUCUUUGGUGUGCAGUGUUACACCUCUCCUGUUUGGGGAUUCUACACUGGAGUCAGCAGCUAUUCGCUAAGAGAGGAUACCUACCGUCUCCAAAGAACCAGCCACCAGCAAACACACCAUCCUUUGCCAUCUGACACACUCUAAAGCUGGACCAGAUAUAAGAAUCGUGUGUCUUCCCAGGUCACUUGGCCACAAUGUCUGUAAAAUAUCCUUAGAUGCACAUUACUUAGACAAUUAGGUCUAGUGCCAGGAAGCCUUUUUGGCAGGUGCAGGUGGGAUUGAAGAGGUUGCGAGUAGGAUUGAGCGUUCCAUCUUCUGCACCUAAUAUGCCUGCAAUGGCACGAAAACCAAUUUUAGUGUCAUACAAGGCAUCCCCUCCUGCUGGAAACUAUGCAGUUGUGCAUACGAUGCAAGAGAAUGUGAUCGAUGCAUGCACAGAUUUGGACACGGUAGCAUCAUGGAUGGUCUGCAAGAAUCCAUCGGUGGGAUAGAAGCAGAGAGCUGUCAGACGAUACAUGAUGGACUGAGGGCAAAAUUCCGCUCUGUUCCUCUUUUCGAUUUAUCCUGCACCAGACCGGGAGGCUCAAUAUUUCAGCCCAGGCCAGCCUGUAUUUCCCUAUGAAUUGUUCUUUGCUGAGAUGGUCCAUGGGGUUCACAUCAACCCGCAAAACAGCAUUUGGACCAGCAGCUUGGUCUCAAAUGCCGUCUUGGUUUCGUUGUACAGUUCUCUGCCAUUACUGGUCAUGAGGGGUGAUUCACCUUUCCAAUUCAAAGGAUGUGACAACUCAUAGUAAGUUUGAUUGGUUAGCUCAUUAUGUAUGUGGUUGCUGAGAAUUUAUGAAUUGUGCCCCAUUCCAUUAUGAAUUGGAAUAUUAAUUGAAUUGGCCACGCCCUGUAAGACAUUGAAUUGGAAUGAGAGGAAGAAGAAUUUAAUUCAUUUUAAUUCAAAGAAAUUACUCAGGAAUGUCAUUUAAUCUCUGAAAAUAUAUAUAAUUAUGCAAUAAAUGUACUUUCUAGAUGGUAGAUGUAUAUAUUGACCUUAUAUAUGUAUUAGUGAGUGAAGUGAACUUUAUACUUGCAUGAAUGUACGAUCAAAAUUGUGUAAUUGCUUUAGCCCAUUCUAACAAUAUGGAUCUGGAUUUUGUCGGCCCUCUGAGUCCUUUUCCAUGGGCAAACAUUUAUUGUUCUUGCAUAUAUAACUGUUCAUGUAACACGCAUAGGCUAUUCUGGCAGGUGCUGGAACAGGGGGUGUGGCCGAUGGCUGCUUUUUUCCGCCAUGAAUUUUCGUAAUUGUGAAGUGGGAUUCAGUGAAUGCAGUUUAUGUUAAACAUGUAAUUCAUAUUGGAAUGUUCAGCUGUAUUGUUACAGGUGCACCAGCACUAUGUAUAUGAAUUUAUGUAAAAUCAAUCCCAUUUUAAUUGUACUUCCUUAUAUUCAAAUUUGAAUUGAGAUUCUGCACCCUGUUCUCAACCAAUUUUAUGAAUUGAAUUUGAAGUUCAAGGUCAUUCUCAAUUCAAUUCUGAAUGGUGCACAUCUCUGUUAUGUACUGAAAUUGCAUGCAGGUGUUAAAACAAUGAGCCCUUUUUGUGCUAAUUUACAACCGACGUCAUAGUUUUAUUCUGCAACAUUUUUGCCAUCUGUUUUGGUCGAUCUUUGUGUGUCUGUGAUUGGACAGCAGGCAAAAGUUCAAAUAAA